CAAUAUCCAUUGCGCUCCCUUCAUCUACCCAGACAGUCAUUCCAUCAUAGAAAGCUACCAGGUUGCUUAAGCUUGAUUUCCCCUUUGUGAAUCCGUGCUGACACCUCCUGGCUACCUUCUUACCCUUCACAUGCUUAGAGAUGGCCUCCAGGAUGAGCUGUUGCCUCACCUU